CGCAUGAAAGUGUGGCUAAUACGGGAUAUUCUGGGUCUGUCGCAUGGUGGGCCUGGGAAAGAUUGCGCCUUUUUUGGUGUUUUUGGUGGGGGAUGGGCUCGCGGCCUAUCAGCUUGUUGGUGGGGUGAUGGCCUGCCAAGGCGGUGACGGGUAGCCGGCCUGAGAGGGUGGACGGUCACACUGGGACUGAGACACGGCCCAGACUCCUACGGGAGGCAGCAGUGGGGAAUAUUGCACAAUGGGCGCAAGCCUGAUGCAGCGACGCCGCGUGAGGGAUGGAGGC
rnacentral:rRNA from 1 species